CCAAAAGCAGGCAGGACCCCCUCGGUAGUGCUAAUGAAAAGUGUAACUUUAGCCUCCCAGCUGUACGUCUCAAUCCAUAAUCCUUCCCCAAAAUCCAAACCGCGGGGCCGCCUCCCGCUCCCGUGGCGCCCCAGAGCCUGAGCCAGGCCGGGUCCUCUCUGACGAUUUAGUCCUGUGGCCACCUCGCAACCUGAGCACAAUCUUGGGCUCCUUUCCGUUUAGGCGCAUAGUUCCGUGGACCUCCAACUCCCAUCUGCCACCAUUGCCAUCUUAACCUUGUGUGACAACAACACGGACAUUUCAGGCGAAGCUCGGGCCUUCUGUGGAUGUGUACCUCAAGUUUGGAGGUCAGAGUCCAAACACACGCUGCCAGAUCACACUUUGGUAUGCUGAGGCACACACGCAGGUAGGUCCGCUCCAGGUGCCCCCCACGCUCCCUCCCGAAGGGAUCCCCCACUGCUCCACGGCACUCGGGUCAGGUCCGAGGGCCCGGUGGGCUGUGAGCACAGGUCAACGAGGGCUCGGACGGCCUGGAGAUGAGACAGCGGACUGGCGUGAGGAUCCGUGUUUGAUGUGUCUCCGGACUGGGCUACUAUGUUACAAUGUUGCUGUGGCUUUAAUUAGAUCUGUCGGCUGCUACUUCCUGGCUGACAGGCGCUAGCAAAACACUCGCUUUGUAAUCUCUUACAGGUUGGGACCGUCUCAACCGGAUGUGGAAAAAAAGGCUCACACUUUGGAUUUAAAAAUGCAGAAACUUGUUUCAAGGAAAAUAAGCAUGUAUAAAUAAGCAUGUGGCUUAAAACACAGACAAGACUGAAAAAGUAGUUUCUGCUUUUGCACACCUCUUUAAAAGAAACUGCUGUAUUUUAAGCCAAAGAACUGUUGUGUUUGAUAGAACAAUAUGUCUAUAUGCUGCCAUAGCAGAUUCAUGGCGCAUUAAGCUCCCGAACUAUUUUUAGUUUGUCCGUUUUACCCUGGAAACCCCCGUUUACAGACGUCACGCUACCGCUUUUGCUUCUUCCCAGCCAUAAAACGAAGGUAACAAUUAUAUUUAAUAUUUGAAAUGUCUGUCAUUUUUAGCUUAGGAUCAUUAAUUGCUGUUUAAUAUUCAUUAAAAAAAAAAAAAAACGACUUUAAAAAAUUAUUUAGUCGCAUAUAUAAACUUUUAAACAUAUUACGUCACAAUGAAAAAAAUGGCGUCUGUAAAAACGUCACGGAUAUCUACCUCAUAACUAUCGCUUAAUUGAAUUUUUUUUGUUGUCACUGUUGUAUUUUCUUCGAUACGUUAGAUGAUAAAUAAUCGAUCCAAACAAACAAACAAACAAACAAACAAAAAAAAAACUUUUAAAAGUGUAAAUAUGUGAAAAAGAAAAUCUUGGCCUCUCCUUGAUGUCUGCGAUUUCUGCAUCGCGACCCUUGUUAUGUUUCACUCAUAAAAAUUCCACAAAAUCGAGCUGUGGCCAUUCACAGCUGUGUCUUGACACUUGUUCAUACAUGCUACAAACAGUUUUUGGAUCAAAACAAGGUAAGUACGCGAUAAUAUCUCGUUAAAGUCAUGGCGUCUUUAAUUCUGCUCUCGCGUGCUCUCACCUCCAGAUAGGGUUUUACUGUUUAAAAAAAAAAAAAAAAUCCAAAACUUCCCUCCAGUUCUAAAUUUUUCUUCCCCCAGAAAAAUGAGAUUUUAAGCUUUCCAAUGAUGUACCACACAUGCAUAUCGGACAAUUUUGAAAGUUGGCCAAAUUGGGGGUUUCAGAGCGGAACUUCAAGUCACCACAGUGUUUUCCGCCAUGUACUCUCUGCAUGUACGAUAAUUUACUGUGAUGCAGCCUCUCUCAGUCUAAAUAAAAUGGACAUUUAUCGCCGUUAAUGACACUUAAACAUGAUCGCUGUCAAUGGCAGCCAAUUAAAAAAAAAAAAAAACAGUACACAUUAUUUGCAUUUUAAUUCAAUUCACUGGGUAAACAAGAUUAAAGAUGUAUUUCGAGGUGCAAAAUUAAUUACAGUAAUUAAAUUCGUAAGACAUUGACAAAAUGCUUCUCAGUUUUUCAUAUUUUUGGACAAAAAAUUUAUUUUUAAUGAUUAUUUAAAUCUUUUUGUUGUUUACUAACUUCUUCAUAUUUCAAUGAACUUGUUGGCAUAAAUAAGCUGGUUUGACAACCAACAUGAACUCCAAAUGAAGAAUAUUGGAGAUAAACACCAAAGAGGGUAGGAGACAAAUCCUGAAAAUGAGUCGCACUCGCUUUGUGAGGAAACAAUCUUAGCGAGAAAAAAAAGGCAGAAAAUUCCGUUUUCACGAUGAGUGGCUGCGUGUUAUCAGUGAACAAUGCAAAAAAAGGAAGAAAUGCUUGCUAUAUCUGCACGCCUAAAUUUUGAAGUUAUAUCGUAAGUAAUAAGUACACAAUACAGAGAUCUGUUUCCGAAUGUAAAACUUAAGUAUUCAGAAAAAUAAUAUUUGUUUUCUUCCCACUACUGAUGUCAGCCCAUGUGUGUGUGCUUCUAUGCAAUUGUGUUCAUUUAACAGCCAGGUAUCAACAUCGCUGUCUGUCUGCCAUGCUAAUUAACUGUGAAGUCACUGUAUUGAAGAUAUGGAAGAGAAAAAGAACGGCAGCUCACACUGUUAAAAUGACCACAGCAGCUCCUCCACAGGGUGUGAUCCAAAUAUGAACACCGAUUAUGUGUUUUGUUAAAAAAAGAAGAAGAAAAAAAGGAUGCAAAAAUGAUAUGACCAAAUUCCAAAAAUCUUUGUGGGUAAACAGUGGAUAUUGUUAAAGGUUCAUAUUUUUUCAUUAAUUUCGAUUUGAAUGAUGCCUAACAACUUGAUGAAGUUGCCUCUCUUGAGUUACAUUCUAUUACAUAUUUUACCAAUGAUAGAAAAACAAAUAAUUAUCAUAAUAUUCAUUCCUGAAACCAAAAAAAAAAAACUUUGGACCAAAGUUAUUAUAACAUUAUACAGUGAGUGACACCUCUGAGAUUGACCAUAAUCAAUUAUUGCAGGCAGUGUUGUUUUUGGCAGCUCUUUUAAUGUCCAUUUCAGUCCGAGUCUUUUGGACGAAAAUACAAUAUUAGUCAUAUUUUAGUCAUUUCAAAAAGAAUUACUAAUUUCGUUUAAUUUUACUCGAAGGUUACUCAAAAUGUUUUCGUUCGUAAAAGUCUAAGUCAAAAAAUAAUUAAGUAAACAAAGGUUACCAACAAUUUCAAAUGAACAUUGAUAUUGUAUUAUCUAAAAAGACAUCGCCCACUUGGUGAUAAUACACACUCAGCAGGGAAACAAUACAUUAUUUUCAAUUACACCCACACUAGACGCUGCUUACUAUAUGUAAAAAAUGUUUCAGAGAUUAAGAGGACGCUCGCUGCUAGUGUGACUGUGAAUGCUAUGCUAACGCUACGAGUUACAUUUAGUGAUAAUCUCUCAGAACAGACCUUUCAAGGCUAAAGCAACUAUGCAUAUUUUCUCUUGCCAACAUCUUACCGUGUGUUUCAAAACAAGCAAGCCUGGAGAGGAGAGACCACCAGAGAGUUAGGGGCCGGAGGGCGCAUCACGUCCCAUGAGUGACACAACCAGACAGUGAUACAAUGCAGGCUAACUAUACAUAAAAAUGUUAUACAUUGUGAACAUGUGACGGAAACUAUGGCGCACUUUCAUCUCGUUCUUGUCUCGUCAGACGAAAAUAGGCGUUCGUCUCGUUAUGUUUUAGUCUCCCAAGACGCGAUUUUAGCACGUUAUUGCCUCAUCAUUGUCAUGAAAAAAUUGUUCGUCGACGAAAUUUUUUCAUUAUCAUCAUCGUUGACGAAAACAACACUGAAUGCAGGUUUAUAUUACAGUAGAGUUUGUGUAUUUUAUCGCCAUUGACGAUUGUAGAUGUCCAAUCCAUUUUAACUAGGAGGUUUAGCAGUAAAUGAUCUCAGACAGCUUGGAACAAAAAUGUUUUUUUAAAAUAAAAAUUUUGGUAAAAUGUACUUGCAUAUUCUAAAAGUAUUUACAGUAUUUAACAUUUCUAAAAGAUUUAAAUUAUAUAAUAUAAUGGAAACUGUACAAAAUGAGGACAGUAUUUAGAGUGGUUUAAAGUGUAUGUUUCAACUCUGCAUCGAGGAAACUGCCGGAAUCCACACGAAUCGUGGCUUUCAGACAUAAGGAAAUGUAUCUGUACUUUACCGGCUUGGCCACAUUAAGACUAGAGGGAAAUUGAGCAACUCCUACCUAGCAGCUGACAUCAUGCCCGAUUACUUUUUUAGAUUACGCUGAAUAUGUAAAUUUAACUUACUCUAUUAUCUGUAAGAGAUCACACUGAAAAACGACACGCCCUCAAUUACGUUUAUUUGCUUUUGCUCAGCUAUAAAGUUCCGCUGAAAAUUUUGCAGUCUUUUCCUAAGCCCUUUAAUCGGUGAACAGUUGUCUGAUCUAGUUUGCCAUAGUGAAUUCGUUCGUUUCCUGCUUAUCAAAUGUGGUCAUUUUGUCUUAGUCAAGAAAUUGAGAAAUAGUAGUAUAGUCUUGCGAUACCUACGUCAUCAACCUCUGCACAGUGAAGCGAUACAUUAGUUGCUGUGCUCAGACACAGCGUGUGUCUGUGAUGUACUAAACAUGUGACUAGGCAACAAGCCGGUAAACGGCUAAUGUGCGUGUCAGCUUACAAAUUGCAUUUACACAUAGCCAGUGCCGGAUAAAUACAAGUACAGUACAUUACCGUACUUCAUUGUAUGUCUGAAAGGGGCUAGCAUGGGUUGCGUGCUGUCUAAAGAGCAUUUCAUUCAAACAUGGCCCUACUUAGAUAAAUAAAGAAAUAUCAUAUCCAAUGUGUAAAACACACAUUUUUAUAGUUAAUAAUAAUAAAAAAAAUAAGGGGAUGUUUUAUACAUAAGAACCCUAAGAUGAAGAAAAUUUAUUUUGAUAUUUUUAGGUAACUUGAAGUUGUGAAAAUGUGCUCUGCAACACUCUGGACUGUUUGGAAAACCUAUUAAUGGAAUGUCAUGAGACACAUAGCGCAUUCUAAUUGUAGGGUUAGGAAAUCAUAUUACAUUUCCCAACGUAUAAUGGUAGGUCACCAUUUUCUUAUUAAACACAGGGACACGAAAAGAAAAAGUCUGAACACUAGAAAUCCCAAUCGAUCAAAUCCUAUACAGUAAAUACUAAUAAUUUAGGGAUGCGUAUUACACUUGAGUGCAUACUAUACACGGUGUGACAUAAGGACAUUGACAGGACCUGAGGAAUCUAGGCAAGAUGGCCGCCUAGAGAUUACAUCUACCAACAUGCCGCACAACUCACCCAGGUGUGGCUGCUUAAGCCACUGGAUGAAUGUGUAGCCCAGAGAAAAAACACAGAAUUACAGUAUAUACCAAAUCAUAGACUUCACUAUCAGUUGACGGGACACGGGGCUCGAGGUCCAUCGGUAGGGGGCCUAUUUUCAAAAACUUAAAAUUCAAAUAUUUUCAAAACCAAAGCCGCUAGCCACCCAAAACUAAAACAGGCACCUCCCUUAGGCAUAUAUGAGUCUCCGUGAGCAGCGACUAUCAAAAAAUUCAAAGUCGUUUCCUAAUAAAAUCCCGAUUAAUUAUUUUUUUAUAUAAGUAUGACAAAACUUAUAAUGGCAAAAAAAUUUCAAAUGUUACGUUGGAUGCACAAAAAUCACCAAAUGCAGAGAUGAUCACCUAUAUUUUUAGGAUCAAUAGCAAUAUUUGACAUAUCAUAUAGGUUUUUGCCCGGAAUUUAGUGCAAGUUUUCAAACAGAAAAUCACUCAAUUUUCACAUCAGAAACUUAAUACUUGAGGAAAGCAUGAAGAACCAUCUUAAUUUUACUCAACAAAAGCAAAAUAGGCAUUUUUCACAACUUAUUUAGGUUUAAUUCCAAUGUUACUAUUGCCUCAGCACGUCUUGCAGGCUAUCUGGCCCUCAUUGUUUUUAGAUUGAAAUGUUAUAAAAAAAUCAAACACAUAAAAUGGGGAAAAAAAUUGUAUGGAUGUCUAAAGUACUAAUUUUUUUGCCAAAAAACGGGCCGCUGGCCGAACAUUACCUGAUCAUUUGAAUGUACAGUUAUGCUAUUGUGUAUGGAUAAAACUUGGUGGCUAUCACAAAACAGAGCUUUUUAAGUUCAAAAUUAAUAAAUGCGUACAUCAAGGCAUUUCUAUAGAUAUGAAUACAAAACAGUCUAGAUUUCUGGUUAAAAGCAAAAAAAAAAAAAAAAAACGGGCAGUUAUCAUUCAUUGUACGGAAAUAUUUACAGCUAAAGUUACGCUAAUGUGUAUGGAUAAAACAUGGCGGCCAUGACAAAACAAAGAGUGAAAGUUCUUGUAAAGAAAUUCGUAAAUCCCAGAAUUUCUAUAUAUAUAUGAACACAAAACAGUUUAGAUUCUUGUCUAAAAGCAAAAUCAAGCAGUUAUGAUUCAUUUUACAUAAAUAUUUCAAGCUAAAGUUACGCCAAUUUUUUCCCCAUUCAUUUUUCACAACGUUUCAAAGUGCAUGCAUGGUGCUAUUUUAUAUAAUAAUUGCCUUGAAACCUUGACCAAAUCACCCUUGAGACACUCCUGCCUGCUUGUUUGGAGUAAAACUUUCGUCCUUUUCCACAUAAAUUCGUUGUUUGAUCACACCCUGUGUUUGAGUUUAUAGCAGUGAAAGCUGCACGACGCUCUGCCUGGCCAAGACCCUUACGGGAAGGCGUGGUGCAAUGUCUGUAAGAGCUGUCUAGUCUACUGAUGGUGAAGUCUAUGACCAAAUAUAUACAGCAUAACGACACUAAAGAGAAUUCAUGACAUUUGAAAUUGCAUUCACGCAAUUUCACACUCGCAGAAGUGUCGUCAGCACAUGCACUACCUUUUCGAACAUUAGCCUUUCUCAGUGAGUCGACAGCGCCUUUAAUCGCUCCAGAAAGUAAUUGAAAAAAGCAAAUUGACGAAUGCAUCAGCUGCUCCUGUGUUGUGUGCUUUUUCAAGUUUUAUGCAAAUUCCGCAGUCACACGGUGAGAAUAUUGAGCAGGGACCACUCGGUAAGAAGUGGAACAUCACUCACUACUUCACUAAUACUAAAUUUUAUACUCAUGGCUAGCUUGCCACUUUUUGUAGCCCCACCUUUCUAUAUGUAUAAAGUGUAUAAAAGUGGCCAAGACUGAGAGGAGGGAGGGGGGACACGCUCUGCACACCUAAAGAAAACUGGAUGUAGUACUAACGGCAGUCUGGGCACCGCAUAUGGUAUCCUAUUCAUAUAGUACUGAUGUCUUCACCGAUGUGAAGUUUUAACAUUUGCGUUAUUACCUCCUCUUUCAUCUUAAAAAAAAAAAAAAUUAAUGAAAUGUUGGUUUUGUUCCUAGGGGGCGCUACACACAUUUACACUUUUUUUUUUAAUUUAUUAUUUUUACAUUUUAUCAAGGUUUUCACCAGUGUUCACCUGGCUGUUGAGUUUGGUGAGUUUUGAAGCAUUCUGAGGGGGUCAAAGUAGGGCUCAAGGCGUCAGCGGGACAAAGAAUGACUGCUAGGGGGCGCUACAUAGUGUAUUUGGAAUUUGUCUUUACACGGUAUCAAAGAUUGCACCUGUCUUGACCUGCCUGCCGAUUUUGGUGCAUUAUGAAGCAUUCUAAGGGGAUCAAAUUGAGCUCAAAGGGGCUGCGGAACAAAGAAUUACUAUAAUAAUAAUAAUAAUAAAACCGAGGAACCACAAUUGGUUACCUAAAAAAAAAACAUUGUCACCUGCAUAUCCAUACUGUUCGGUUAUGGAUGUGUUCUAAGUCAAAUAAAAUCAAAUCAACUUUUAUUUGUUUGGACCAGUGCUUCUCAAUUAUUUUCUGUUACGCCCCCCCCCAAGGACGACAUAAAUGUUUCGCGCCCCCCCAAACUCUGCCGCCACUGUAAAAAGUAUCAUUUGUCUAUGAUAUUACUAUUAUAAGUACGCGUCUGCCUCACAUUGUAUCCUUUUUUUUCUAUUAGAGAAAAUAACAGAGAUCAACUUACAAAGUACAACUUUAUUAACAUUGUUUUGUUUGUAACAGAAAAGACUUAAAGCGCAUCAAUUUGCCUGAAUUAAAAAAAAAAGUCACAUCCAAACUGUAAAAAUACACUCAAGGUACAUUUGAUACUGAAAAAUAAAAUAAGUAAAUAAUAACAAAUUCAAAUUGAUUACAAACAUUAACUUAUGAGGACAAUAUGCCAAAAAAUUUGAUCGAAAAAACAAAACUAGAUAGAGGAAGAAAAAAAAAAGUGUCUUUGGACAGAAGGACAGUUUUUAUUUUCGCUGCUCGCAGCUCCCAGUAUCACCUCUAGUUUGCAAUGAUGUGGGGUUAUAUUGCACUGAGCAUGCUAACAGUGCUCACUGGUUUACUGAUAUAAGACUGACAAAGCGGGACGAUUGUUGGCAAUAUUCUGCACGUUUUCGCUGAAAAACAACCAAGCGGCUUAUCAAUGAGAUUGGGGUCUAAUGUCUUUAAGUGGCAUCUUAAUUGAUUUGGCUUCCGGCUGUCCGCUAUAAUCAUUUUUAGACACAGUAAACAGUGGUCUUUCCUCAUCUACCACUGUAUUAAAUGUCAAAGCCAAAAGGUAAACGGCCCAAGAAAAGCGCAUUCUCGGCGGCCGAGGGAGAACCGUAGGUGAGGGCGGUCGUCGUGACGAUCCCAAGCCGAAAAUGGCACAUCUCGGGCGGACACGUGAGAACCGGAGAAGACAGUGGGUCGCUGCGAUAGUCCGGCCGGAAAACGGCUUUCGAAAACGGCGCACAGCUCUCCAGCUCUUCAUGAGUCUCUUCCGUGUGCUCUUGCUUACUUCAAAAAUACUGCGCCCACUUUGAAAAUGAGAGCGCCACUGCCACCCACUGAGUGGAUGUGCAAGUACACUUUAUUCUAGUACGGCCCAAAAAAAAAAAAAAAAAGCAUGUUCCCCGAGGUCACAUGCGCCACCUCUGGCAUCGCUUUGUGCCUCCCUGGGGGGGCGCGCCCCACUAUUUGAGAAGUACUGGUUUAGACCAAAUCACAACAACAGUUAUCUCAAGGAGAAAACAAGAUAUGUUUUAAGGUGUAGUAGCCCUACGAUGGAUUUCGAUCUACUUGAGCUUUGUAGCUUUUUUUUUUUGUCCCCCCCAGGUAAGACUAACGCCCACCCACACCUGGCAUCCUGGCAACACCACUGAAUUGGGAGCUUGUUUUGUCAUUUUUUUUCCUUGGCUUCUCUGUCAUAUUUUGGACACUUUUGGUUUAGCGAAACUGCUCAAUCUGCUGUUUAAUCCAAUUAAGAUCUGUGGCACUGAACAAACAGCGUCCUGGGCUCAUUCCUGUUAAGGUGUACGUCACAGGUUGUCACAACAGGAAAUGCUGUUAAUUUUCCUCCCAAUGAAGUGAAAUUGUGAAACUGAAAUGCCUGAUAAACUCUCAGUGCUCACUGUUUGGAAAACUCCACUCUAUUGAGUGUUUUGUGAAGAUGCCGCUGACGUGUUCUCCCUGCUCAAAGACGCGUUAAGUAACCACUGGAUAUCGCCCACUGAGGAGUAGUGUGGUGAAAUUGAUCUCAGAUUAGACGAGUACGAAUCAUCCGCUCUCCCCCUUUGUCCCCGCCAAGUUGGUGGAUCUUGACUUAGAACUCCUUAAAAGGGAGACUUCACAGCUGGCUGAAGCAUACUAAUACCCUGGACUCAUUAAAUUAAUGGGAGCCUGAUUCUCCUUAUGCUCCAUGUGCACCGUUGCCCUUUGAGUUUGCUGGGGCUAGAGGCUGCACAGCACUUUGAAAGCCCUGACCGGCAUAUUGAGCGUGUUUUAAUAGAAGCCUUUUGAGACUUCUGGUAAGAUGCGCCAUAACUCUUUGCCUUCAAGUCCUCGCACCUCUUUGUGUGAUCUCGUCACAUCGUCGCUCUAUGCUCCAUCGAGGCCUGGAGACAGGAAGGGGACCGAGCGCGGUAAAUGAGGCCAGAGGUGUCCAUAUCUGAGCAGAGGCCAUUCUUUCAUGAAGAUGUGCAUCUUUAAGACAUGCGCCUGUAUCCGCUUUGAUGUAGAAAGGUGCUCGGUAGAUGACGGACGAAGAAGCCUAACACUUCUAGUUGCCUCAAGGGAUAAGAGCGCGUCUUCUUGUCGGACGGUAGUUCUUUACGCUGUUGAUUUAAUUACGCCAGCGUGUAUAACUGCCGUGAAAUAAAUGGAAGUCCCUCAUAGCAUCAUUAUGAAAGUCAAUGUCCAUCUAAUGGGAAGACAUGCUGAGAAUCAUUCCAUACUGAAGAUGAGGGAACGUCAAGAAGCUGACGAUUCAUCGCCGAAGGUGGCGAAAGCGGAAUUCCAAGGUGCGAAGGGCAGAGACAAAGCGGUUUUUGAAAAUAGCUAUUAUUGUAAUGGGUAGAAAAGAAUAUCAAUAAGACUUUUGCAUAUUUGCCCAACAGCUGUAAGAUGAGUUGGUAAGACAAGAAAGCGAAGGAACUCACAUUACCAUAACAAAAAAAUAAGCAUGAAUACAUCAGCCUGAAAGUUAUCUCACUGAAAACAUUAAGAUAAACAUAAUUAGCUCCAAAUGAAAAUAUUAGGACAAUAAUAUCUUGCAUAUAAAUAACUGUUAGUACAAGACGAAUAGAUUUCCACUCAACAACUCAGGGUAACAAUAUUAGUUUAACUCACACAGAGGUAGAUGAAAAAGGGCCGGUGUGUGUGCUGGCUUUUUUUUUUUUCAACCAAUAUGGCACGGAGAGUAUCUGCUAAAACAAGCAGCACCUCACUGCAAUCAACUAAUGACAGAUUGGGAAAAACUGUCCUCUUAAUCAGUUGGAGAGAAAACCUGCACCCACCUACAGCGGCAUUUUCUCGACUAGGUUGGGCACCACUCCUCUACAAAUAACUGUAUAUAGGCCUCUAAGAAGCCCCCCAUCCCUCCACCCCCACCCAAAAAUCUAAUUUGUUUAAGAAAAUUCCUAUUAAUCUGUUGAAAAUAUGUCUAAAUCUUGUUAAGUUGAGGCUUAAAAUCUGCAGUUUUACUUCAAAGACAGCAAAAAGAGUCCAAUCCAAAUUAAAAACGAAAUAACAGUAAGUCCACCUCAUUUUGAUUCUGCGAGUGCUUAGCAGUAAUACAACAUCUAAAUUUUGAACCUGCUUGGAUUAUAUACAUUAGAAAGAGUUUGUAUUGGUUUUGCUAGUGUUCCAGCCAACGAUAGUGAGGCUUGCUCCCGUAAAAAAAAAAAAAAAAAGUUCAGCUGUCUAAAGCCUAUUGCUUAUAUAUUGCUUUCGCUUGCAGCGGUUCAACUUUUUCGGUAGUAAACACAAAUAUGGGUUAAAAAAAAUGGCUUAGUCAGGUACUCGUGGUCAUGCCACGCAACCAUUUCCUUAGAAUUCACGUGUGAUGAACAUCCUCCAUAUCCUGGAAACCUUCCAGUAGUGCCAGGCUGCACUGAUUGGAUUUUCAUAAAGGCCUCAGACAGUAAUGAUGCCUCAAGCCUUUGAUCGCCGCCCGAUAUCGCAACAUGGCGGCGUGUUCGGCUCUUCGCCGCUGCUAACAAGCAGCCACCACAUUUACGUGCCUCCCACUCCAAGGCGUAAUUUAUUCCCAUCACUCAGGAUGCGCGAAGAUCCGUAGGUCGCCACGGUACCUGGCAACAAUGCGGGAUGCGGCCGGGCAGUGGGGGGAGGAUUUGAUGCAAUCAAGAAGCAAAGGGCCACGGUUACCAGGCAGGUUUGGAGCCACGUCCGCUCCCACUGUGACACGGCACUCAUCUUCGCAACACCGGACCAAAAAAGAGGGGAAGCGCGCUGAGAUCUUAUCCCACAGAAGCCAAUUUCCUCCACCAAAGUUCUCCUUCUCAGAGUGUGGCUCAAGCACUUCAAAGUGGAGAGCCAUACAGAGAGCACGAUUCAUUUGGCAGCUCAUGUUGUCCGCCUUCAAAAAAGCCAAAGCUCGCCGCGAGACGCUCGGCGGGGCUGAUUCCGGCUUCAGAGAGGGGAAAGAAUUUGGCGGCGGCUUAGGGCGCCCAUCCCCAUCCAGAGGUGGGCUCUUUUUCAUCUUAGCGACCGAGUUUGGUGACUGGGCGCUUCACAGGUGGGAGUCGGCCUGGGUCAAAGAAGUGCGCUUGCUAAGGACUGGAUUUGCCGCUGUUAUUUUUCUAUUAGGGCAGAAUUAUGCUAAGCCUUCAGAGGCCAUCUUUGUGUUGCUAUGGCAGCCCAUAUUUCCUACCGGGUUGUGACCUUGAAUGACUACAGUGCAAAGCCAAGUCGCCCCCGCACCCUUUGAGGAUUAGAAGCAGGGUCUCUUAGUUAUGCAAAACACCUCUGAUAUGAUUGAGCCUUGAAUGCUUGAAUGACAAACUUUAUUGAGAUUGCCUCUCUUUUCAUCUGAUUAUUGUCACUUGAUUAUUUCCAAUCACUUGGCACGGCUUCAAACGUCGCUUUGUUAAGGACCACGCCGAGCUAUUCUUUUCCGGCACCGCCACAAAAGCCCGUGUCGCAGAGUAUUCAUGGGACAAAACAUGCGGGACAGCAAUUCUCCAACAGAAUGAAGGGAAAUUAGAUCACUUUGGAAGGGGAAAAUGAAACUAGCAUCUUUUAAAAAUCGCCUUUUUAUGAAGAGGAUUUGUCAGACCGGACGCCAGAUCUCUUUUAGAUAUCUCUAGAUAUCAAAAAAAAAAAAGUUUCAGUCCUUUUGACAAAGAUUUUAUUUAGUUCUGAAAUUAUCAUAUAAUAAUACCCUUAAUGUAUUUAAUUCGUUGGCUACCAUUGACGUCUAUCGACACCAAUGGCAGUGAAUAAGCUAAUGUUUUGUAGCUGUUUGUCUUCAUCUGAACCUUGAGCCUUAGGCAAAGUCAAGGAGGAAAAAACCGAAACCCCAAUUUGGCAAAAAUCUUCCGUUUUCUGCUAGGAAGCCAGAAAAAUGCUGGGAGAGCCUACUAGAACAUCUGAAAUGCAUUCAGAGUGAUGAAAGGGCACUUUACUGGUGUCAAUUGAGUGUUGACGAGGUGGAGGUAGACAUGAACAGUUAAAAAUUACUGUCGUUGUUUGUACAGCACUUGAAAGGAGCAGACAAAAUGCCAGGAAAAGCUGACAAGAAUGGAGAUAUAAUUGCAGUUAAUCAGGGACUCUUUAAAUGGUGAUAAGUGUGUGGUGACUUUAACAUAAGGUUGAAUUUAAUUGGUUCUCAGUUUGAGAAUGAGUUAUCAAGUUUAGCUGUCUGCUUGGUGUCAUUUCUGGUCUCAGUCCUUUCCGGAGUUGCAUUUGUUACUUUUAUUGAAAGCUAUUUGGGGAAAUUGGAGUUUCUUGUGUACCCAAAACACAAUCGAUACUCAUGAUUUGUCGUCUUUCGAUUUUUUUUUUUUUUUUUUUUUGUGGCAAUCUUUCCAGCUGUUUUGCAAGCUGCCAUCAAAGCUACAAGUGAGAGAUGCGUAUGAGGCAGCCACUGGGACCUGCAAACGGAGACGACUCUUUGAAGGAAGCAGAUUGACACUAUUGUGAUCACAACGCACAACAGGAGGCGACUUUUGAAGGAGGAAAGUGCGCCCAGUGUCGGCUUUCAGGUUACAAACACAAAACACACGUGGAGUGGACGUUGAGCAACCUAACAACGUAUGUCCAAACUUGCCCAGCCAAAAAAUAUCAAUAGGUAAAUUCCUCCCAAUUUUUUCGAUGACCAACACACAAAAUGAGAUUAUAAUUUUUAAGUACACAAGAGAAGCCUUAGAGAGAGUUUCUCAAGGGUUCAUGAUGCUUCCAUAUGGAGCCAUAUGUAUGUAUACUUUUUAGGGUUAUUCCAAUACAUUGAUUUUAUUCGAUAUGGCGGAAAACACAGACCAGACUGAAAAAGCAGUUUCUGCUCUUGCACACCUCUUUAAAAGAAACUGCUGUAUUUGAAGCCAAAACAACUGUUGUGUUUGAUAGUACAACAUGUCUAUAUGCUGCCAUAGCAGAUUCAUGGCGCAUGAAGCCCCGAACUAUUUUUAAUUUGUCCGUUUUACCCUGAAAAACCCCGUUUACAGACGUCGCGCAACCGCUUUUGUUUCAACUCAACAGUAAAACAAAGGUAAUUAAUUAUAUUUAUUAUUCAAAAUGUCUGUUGUUUUUAUAUUAUAAUCAUUAAUUGAUGUCUCAUAUUUUGUUUAAAAAAAAAAAAACGACUUUAAAAAAUAAUCACUCGCAUAUUUUAAACUUCUAAACAAAUUAUGUCACAAUGAAAAAAAUGGCGUCUGUAAAAAAGUCAUGGAUAUCUACCUCAUAUAUAUCGCUUAAUUAUAUUUUUUUUGUUACAGUCGCAUUUUCUCCGAUAUUUUAGAUGAUAAAUAAUCGACCCAAACAAAAAAAAAAAAUGGGAAAAAAAAGUUUAAAAGGGUAAAUAUAUGAAAAAAACUCUCGACCACUCCUUGAUGUCUGCGAUUUCUGCAUCGCGACCUCUGUUAAAUUACCAUGUUUCACCCAUAAAAUCCCCCAAAAAUCCAGCUGUGGCCAUUCACAGCUGUGUCUUGACACUCAGUGAUUCAUGCUACAUGGAGUUUUUGGAUCAAAACAAGGUAGGCACUCGAUAAUAUCUCGUUAAAGUCAUGGCGUCUGUAAUUCUGCUCUCGCGUGCUCUUGCCUCCAGAUGGGGUUUGGCUGUUUAAAAAACUUUUUUUUUUUUUUUUUAAAUGACCUCCUGUUCAAAAUUUUUAUUCCCCCAGAAAAUUGAGAUUUUAAGCUUUCCAAUGAUGUAU